rnacentral:rRNA from 1 species
UAAAGCGGAGGAAAAGAAACUAACAAGGAUUCCCCUAGUAACGGCGAGUGAAGCGGGAAGAGCUCAAAUUUGAAAUCUGGUGGCCUCAGGUCAUCCGAGUUGUAAUCUAUAGAAGUGUUUUCCGUGCUGGCUCAUGUACAAGUCCCUUGGAACAGGGCGUCAUAGAGGGUGAGAAUCCCGUCCUUGACAUGAACUACCAGUGCUCUGUGAUACAUUUUCAACGAGUCGAGUUGUUUGGGAAUGCAGCUCAAAAUGGGUGGUAAAUUCCAUCUAAAGCUAAAUAUUGGCGAGAGACCGAUAGCGAACAAGUACCGUGAGGGAAAGAUGAAAAGCACUUUGGAAAGAGAGUUAAACAGUAUGUGAAAUUGUUGAAAGGGAAACGAUUGAAGUCAGUCGUGCUCUUUGGAUUCAGCCGGUUCUGCCGGUGUACUUCCUUUGAGUGGGGUCAACAUCAGUUUUGAUCGCUGGAUAAAGGCUGGAGGAACGUAGUACCCUCGGGUAAACUUAUAGCCUCCUGUCACAUACAGUGGUUGGGACUGAGGAACGCAGCACGCCUUUAUGGCCGGGAUUCGUCCA